rnacentral:rRNA from 1 species
CCUACGGGUGGCCGCAGUGAGGAAUAUUGGUCAAUGGCCGAGAGGCUGAACCAGCCAAGUCGCGUGAGGGAAGACGGCCCUACGGGUUGUAAACCUCUUUUGUCGUGGAGCAAAGCGAACCACGUGUGGUUCCUUGAGCGUACCCGAAGAAAACGCAUCGGCUAACUCCGUGCCAGCAGCCGCGGUAAUACGGAGGAUGCGCGUGUUAUCCGGAUUUAUUGUGUUUAAAGGGUUCUCAGGCGGAGGUGCAAGUCAGCGGGAAAAUUGCGGGGAUAAACCCCGUACUGCCGUUGAAACUGCAUCCCUUGAGUGCGCGAGAAGUAUGCGGAAUGCGUGGUGUAGCGGUGAAAGGCAUAGAUAUCACGCAGAACUCCGAUUGCGAAGGCAGCAGACCGGCGCGCAACUGACGCUCAUGCACGAAAGCGUGGGUAUCGAACAGGAUUAGAUACCCUGGUAGUC